GUUGUAUGGUUAAGUGACUAAGCGUACACGGUGGAUGCCUUGGCAGUUGGAGGCGAUGAAGGACGUACUAACUUGCGAUAAGCCUAGUCAAGCCAGUAAGAGGCGCUUGAGACUAGGAUUUCCGAAUGGGGAAACCCACCUGCUUGCAGGUAUCGUUAACUGAAUACAUAGGUUAACGAGGCGAACGCGGAGAACUGAAACAUCUAAGUACCCGUAGGAAAAGAAAUCAACCGAGAUUCCGAAAGUAGCGGCGAGCGAAAUCGGAGCAGCCCUUAAGCUUUAGUGUAGUUAGUGGAAUAUGCUGGAAAGCAUGACGAAACAGGGUGAUAGUCCCGUACACAAAAACUUAUCUAAAGUGAAAUCGAGUAGGUCGGAGCACGUGAAACUUUGACUGAAUAUGGGGGGACCAUCCUCCAAGGCUAAAUACUCCCAACUGACCGAUAGUGAACCAGUACCGUGAGGGAAAGGCGAAAAGAACCCCUGUGAGGGGAGUGAAAUAGAACCUGAAACCGUGUACGUACAAGCAGUAGGAGCCUACUUGUUGGGUGACUGCGUACCUUUUGUAUAAUGGGUCAGCGACUUAUAUUCUGUAGCGAGGUUAACCAUUUAGGGGAGCCGUAGCGAAAGCGAGUCUUAACUGGGCGCUUAAGUUGCAGGGUAUAGACCCGAAACCCGGUGAUCUAGCCAUGGGCAGGUUGAAGGUUGAGUAACAUCAACUGGAGGACCGAACCCACUAACGUUGAAAAGUUAGGGGAUGACCUGUGGCUAGGAGUGAAAGGCUAAUCAAACCGGGAGAUAGCUGGUUCUCCCCGAAAUCUAUUUAGGUAGAGCCUCGGACGAAUACUUACGGGGGUAGAGCACUGUUAAGGCUAGGGGGUCAUCCCGACUUACCAACCCUUUGCAAACUCCGAAUACCGUAAAGUAAUAUCCGGGAGACACACGGCGGGUGCUAACGUCCGUCGUGGAGAGGGAAACAACCCAGACCGUCAGCUAAGGUCCCAAAGUGUAUGUUAAGUGGGAAACGAUGUGGGAAGGCUAAAACAGCUAGGAGGUUGGCUUAGAAGCAGCCACCCUUUAAAGAAAGCGUAAUAGCUCACUAGUCGAGUCGGCCUGCGCGGAAGAUGUAACGGGGCUAAACAUACCACCGAAGCUACGGCUGCGUACGUAAGUAUGCGGGGUAGGGGAGCGUUCUGUAAGUGGCUGAAGGUGUGCCGGGAGGCAUGCUGGACAUAUCAGAAGUGCGAAUGCUGACAUGAGUAACGACAAGAGGAGUGAAAAACUCCUCCGCCGGAAGACCAAGGGUUCCUAUCCCAUGUUAAUCAGGGUAGGGUGAGUCGACCCCUAAGGCGAGGCUGAAGAGCGUAGUCGAUGGGAAACGGGUUAAUAUUCCCGUACUCGGUAUGAAUGCGAUGGGGGGACGGAGCAGGCUAGGCAAGCAUGGCGUUGGUUGUCCAUGUGAAAGGCUGUAGGCUGGUGACUUAGGAAAAUCCGGGUUGCCAAGGCUGAGAGUCGAGACGAGCCACUAAGGUGGUGAAGUUGUUGAUGCCCUACUUCCAGGAAAAGCCUCUAAGCUUCAGUUCAUACUGAAUCGUACCCUAAACCGACACAGGUGGUCAGGUAGAGAAUACUAAGGCGCUUGAGAGAACUCGGGUGAAGGAACUAGGCAAAAUUGUACCGUAACUUCGGGAGAAGGUACGCUCUUGUUUGUGAAGGACUUGCUCUGUAAGCAAACGAGAGCCGCAGUGACCAGGUGGCUGGGACUGUUUAUUAAAAACACAGCACUGUGCAAAAUCGUAAGAUGACGUAUACGGUGUGACACCUGCCCGGUGCCGGAAGGUUAAUUGAUGGGGUUAGCUUAGGCGAAGCUCUUGAUCGAAGCCCCGGUAAACGGCGGCCGUAACUAUAACGGUCCUAAGGUAGCGAAAUUCCUUGUCGGGUAAGUUCCGACCUGCACGAAUGGUGUAACCAUGGCCACGCUGUCUCCACCCGAGACUCAGUGAAAUUGAAAUCGCAGUGAAGAUGCUGUGUACCCGCGGCUAGACGGAAAGACCCCGUGAACCUUUACUACAGCUUGGCACUGAACAUUGACCCUACAUGUGUAGGAUAGGUGGGAGGCUUUGAAGCAGGAACGCUAGUUUCUGUGGAGCCGACCUUGAAAUACCACCCUUGUAGUGUUGAUGUUCUAACUUAGGCCCCUGAAUCGGGGUUGAGGACAGUGCCUGGUGGGUAGUUUGACUGGGGCGGUCUCCUCCCAAAGAGUAACGGAGGAGCACGAAGGUUUGCUAAGUACGGUCGGACAUCGUACGGUUAGUGUAAUGGUAGAAGCAAGCUUAACUGCGAGACAGACACGUCGAGCAGGUACGAAAGUAGGUCAUAGUGAUCCGGUGGUUCUGAAUGGAAGGGCCAUCGCUCAACGGAUAAAAGGUACUCCGGGGAUAACAGGCUGAUACCGCCCAAGAGUUCAUAUCGACGGCGGUGUUUGGCACCUCGAUGUCGGCUCAUCACAUCCUGGGGCUGAAGUCGGUCCCAAGGGUAUGGCUGUUCGCCAUUUAAAGUGGUACGCGAGCUGGGUUUAGAACGUCGUGAGACAGUUCGGUCCCUAUCUGCCGUGGGCGUUUGAGAAUUGAGAGGGGCUGCUCCUAGUACGAGAGGACCGGAGUGGACGAACCGCUGGUGUUCGGGUUGUGAUGCCAAUUGCAUUGCCCGGUAGCUACGUUCGGAACUGAUAACCGCUGAAAGCAUCUAAGCGGGAAGCAGGCCUCGAGAUGAGUUCUCACUUUGACUUAGAGUCAACUGAAGGGCCGUUGAAGACUACAACGUUGAUAGGCGAGAUGUGGAAGUGCUGUGAGGCAUUAAGCUAACUCGUACUAAUUACCCGAGAGGCUUAACCAUACAACGCCAAAGUGGUUU
rnacentral:rRNA from 1 species